GCCUCCAUGUCUCAGUCGGGAAAACACCCGACUUUGGUGCGGUAAGAUUCGGGUUCGAGUCCCGGUGAAGGCU